AUUGAACGCUGGCGGCAGGCCUAACACAUGCAAGUCGAGCGGAUGAAGGGAGCUUGCUCCUGGAUUCAGCUGCGGACGGGUGAGUAAUGCCUAGGAAUCUGCCUGGUAGUGGGGGAUAACGUCCGGAAACGGGCGCUAAUACCGCAUACGUCCUGAGGGAGAAAGUGGGGGAUCUUCGGACCUCACGCUAUCAGAUGAGCCUAGGUCGGAUUAGCUAGUUGGUGGGGUAAAGGCCUACCACGGCGACGAUCCGUAACUGGUCUGAGCGGAUGAUCAGUCACACUGGAACUGAGACACGGUCCAGACUCCUACGGGAGGCAGCAGUGGGGAAUAUUGGACAAUGGGCGAAAGCCUGAUCCAGCCAUGCCGCGUGUGUGAAGAAGGUCUUCGGAUUGUAAAGCACUUUAAGUUGGGAGGAAGGGCAGUAAGUUAAUACCUUGCUGUUUUGACGUUACCAACAGAAUAAGCACCGGCUAACUUCGUG
rnacentral:rRNA from 1 species